AAAAGGAAGAGGAAAAGGAUGAGAAAAAGGCUGAGAAGUAUGAAAAGGUUAUAGCCAAGAGAAUUAAGAAUGUAAGUGAUGAUUUGGACAAGAUUGACAAAUCAGAAAUUGAGCUGAGGAAAGAUACAAAUAAUUCAUUGGAUGAUAUAAGAUUGCGAAAUAUGGUGUUUCAAGGCUUCGUGUCCCUUUUAUUUGGUUUGCAAUAAGCGGGUCUUAAUCCAGAAAGAUGGUGGACGUUAUUUUCGAUGGUAAUGUCUAUGGCCUUUAGCUCCAUAUGGAUUGUCCAAAAGGUUGGUUUUGAGUUAUGGAGCUUCAGAAAGAAAUUUAGAGAUCUUUACAAAAAACAAAACAAAAUAUAUUUAGAUGGAGAAGUUUUGAUUGUUGAUUGGAAAGUAUCUGAAGAGAAACAUAAGUUUUCAGCUAAGUUAAAAGAAGAUUUUUCACAAGUCCCUAACAUUGGAUAAAAAACGUGUUGGAAAUAUGGGAUGGACAUACUUGGGCAAUUUUAUCUUUUAUUCAGUGUUCUCUCUUACAGUACCGGUGUUGCUAUAUUUUGUUGUCAUGGCGAUAUCUGAGAGAGAUGCAGCUACUUCUACACAUCCCCCUUCUACUCCUUGAAGAUAUAGUAAUCGUGGACUUAAGUUGAUGCAAUGAUGCAACAUGCAACCAGGCAGGUAAGCAAGAUCAUUACUCACUAGCCUGUUGACAUUGUAGUUAGUCUGUUACAAGAAGACAUUGUUUUUUCUUUUUGCUGUUGACUGUUGUGUACUUUAGUUUGCAGACUGUUUGUGUGUUUGUAGUUUGUGCUUUCUUUUUCAUGUGUGAUGUGUGAGACUGAGAGACUGGGAGUAGUGUUUGUGUGGGUUUGUCUUUCAGUUUCACUAAACAUUUUGAAAAACAAAUAAACUCUGUUAAAUUUAAAUUUGAACUUCUUUUCCCAGAAACCGGAUUUUAUCGGGAAAA